GACCUGAGAGGGUGAUCGGCCACACUGGGACUGAGACACGGCCCAGACUCCUACGGGAGGCAGCAGUGGGGAAUUUUGGACAAUGGGCGCAAGCCUGAUCCAGCAAUGCCGCGUGCGGGAAGAAGGCCUUCGGGUUGUAAACUGCUUUUGUCAGGGAAGAAAUCCUUUGGGCUAAUACCCUAGGGGGAUGACGGUACCUGAAGAAUAAGCACCGGCUAACUACGUGCCAGCAGCCGCGGUAAUACGUAGGGUGCGAGCGUUAAUCGGAAUUACUGGGCGUAAAGCGUGCGCAGGCGGUUUUGUAAGUCAGAUGUGAAAUCCCCGAGCUCAACUUGGGAACUGCGUUUGAAACUACAAGACUAGAAUAUGUCAGAGGGGGGUAGAAUUCCACGUGUAGCAGUGAAAUGCGUAGAGAUCAGGAGGAACACCGAUGGCGAAGGCAGCCCCCUGGGCCUGUACUGACGCUCAUGCACGAAAGCGUGG
rnacentral:rRNA from 1 species